GGGGCCGUAGUCUAGCCAGGUAUGACGACAGAAUGAAUCCGCCAAGGGCUCCAGACCCGUAGACGAAAACUGGCGGAAGUCGAGGGUUCAAAUCCCUUCGGCCCCACCA
rnacentral:tRNA from 1 species